rnacentral:ncRNA from 1 species
UAAAACGCAAUGACAGAGACAGUACAAGGAAAUUCCGGUAUGACAGAGAGAAGGUUCACCGGCUGAAAGACCUUCCGAAGGAAACUUUUGUAAAUUCACUCUUGAGCAGCCUGUGCGAAAGAAAUUCCAGUAGUGCAGGACGGGAAGUCCCGUUACAGACGUUAGAGUGCCGCAUAUAAAUCAUGCGGAAUCUGGGUGGUACCACGGAGAGUCAGCUUCGUCCCAUAG